CUCCAGGGUGGAGCAGGAGGCGCAAGAGCCCUCCGAGGUGGAACAGGAGGCGGAGCAGGAGGCGGAGCAGCCCUCCAGGGCGAAACAGGAAUCUGCGUCACGGUCUGGGACCUGGGGAAAGCAGGGACAGAGGAGGCAGACAGAAUAGGGGGAGAA